rnacentral:rRNA from 1 species
UACGGAGGGGACUAGCGUUGUUCGGAAUUACUGGGCGUAAAGCGCACGUAGGCGGAUCUUUAAGUCAGAGGUGAAAUCCCAAGGCUCAACCUUGGAACUGCCUUUGAUACUGGAAGGCUUGAAUCCGGGAGAGGGAUGCGGAAUUCCAGGUGUAGCGGUGAAAUGCGUAGAUAUCUGGAGGAAUACCGGUGGCGAAGGCGGCAUCCUGGACCAUUACUGACGCUGAGGCGCGAAAGCUAGGGGAGCAAACGGG